GAGGGUAUAGCUCAGUGGUAGAGUGCUUGCUUAGCAUGCACGAGGUCCUGGGUUCAAUUUCUAGUACUGCCA
rnacentral:tRNA from 1 species